UCAUUUUAUGUCUCAGUAUUUCUACUCUCUGCAUUUGCUUUCUCACUCUCACAGCUGACUCCCAUUUUCAUUUUCCUGCUAUCUGUCUCGGUGUUUCUCCCCUUUGCUUGAAGUAACACAAAGAAACCUUUUCCUUGUUCUCAUUACAUGUCUUUGAAUUUCAGUUGCUUUGUUUGAGCUUUCUCCAUCUCUUUACUUUCUACUCAUUCUGUCGUUUUGCCAACUAUUCCGACUCUCUGCACUCUCCUUGCCGGUAAGUAAUCUCAUUUUCCAAUUUUUGUUGAUCUCUAUCUCACUUCUAAUCACUUGAAAAAGGGCUGAAAAAAAAAAAAAAAAUCUGCUUUGUUGUCAAACUGAAUCAAACUGCAUGCAUCCCUUGAGCUUUCUCCAUCUCAUGACUCUGUACCCCUUUGUCCAAUUUUCUUGUUUCACUCAUACUCGCUUCUGAUUCUCCUUUUCAUCUCUUUGCUUGGAGCAAGUCCUCUGCUCCUUUCAUCUCCUAGUUUGGUUUCAUUUGUUGCACUCUCUUCUUUGUUAGCUGUUAUUUCUGCUUUCAUUCGUUACUUGUUUUUUUCUUUUUCUCAGUCACCAUCUGUUUUCCCAAGCAAGCUAAAAGGGAGGGAAAAAAAAAAAGAAACAGUCCGCCUUAGACGAAAUGGCAGACAUCGUUAUUACCAUUGCUGCAAAAGUUGCAGAGUACUUGGUUGCUCCAAUUGGACGCCAGCUUAGAUAUCUGUUUUGCUACCGGAGCUAUACGGAUGAUCUCAACAAGAAGGUUCAGGAGUUGGGGCUGUGAGAUUUCAUGUUCUAUUUAUUCAAUGAUCAUACAGGAUCAUAUGUUGAAUCACAUGAAGAAAUUAUGUCAUAAAUACUAUUAAAAUUGUACCAACCUGAUUCCAUUUGUGUGUUUGAUGAAGACGGUAUGAAUCUUCUAAGACUGAUCCAUACCUGGGUUACUUAAAUAUCUGCCUAACAUUCCAACAAUGUACGCAAUAUCCGGACGCGUACAAACUUGUGCAUACAUGAGACUUCCUACUGCCGAGGCAUAGGGAAAUCUCUCCAUAUCUUUCUUCUCAAGUUCAUUUUUCGGACAUUGGUGCAAACUAAACUUAUCGCCUUUUGCUACAGGCGUGUCUCCUAGUGCACAAUUGCUCAUGCCAAAUCUACUCAACACCUUAUCGAUGUAGGCCUUUUGUGAUAACCCAAGUAUACCUCUUGAACGAUCCCUAUGGAUCUGUAUACCCAGCACAAAAGAUGCAUUACCAAGAUCCUUCAUGUCAAAUUUACUAGACAGAAAUCGUUUGGUUUCAUGCAAAAGUCCCACAUCACUGCUUGCAAGUAGAAUAUCAUCAACAUAUAACACCAAGAUAAUGAAUUUGCUCCCACUGAACUUAAGGUAUAUGCAUUGAUCAACAGUGUUUUCUUUAAAACCAAAUGAAGUAAUCACUUGAUCAAACUUUCGGUACCAUUGUCGGGAUGCUUGCUUUAAACCAUAUAUGGACCUUUUUAAUCUGCAUACAAGUUGCUUUGAAUCAUUAGACUCAAAGUUCUCCGGUUGCACCAUGUAUAUUGUCUCAUCAAUGUUGCCAUUAAGAAACGCAGUUUUAACGUCCAUUUGAUGUAGCUCUAAAUCAUAAUGAGCUACAAGUGCCAUGAUGAUUCUAAAGGAGUCCUUUGAUGAAACUGGUGAAAAUGUCUCCUUAUAAUCAAUGCCUUCCUUUUGAGUGAAACCUUUUGCAACUAGGCGUGCCUUAUACCUAACAAUAUUGCCUUUUGAAUCCCGCUUAGUUUUAAAAAUCCAUUUACAACCAAUCGGUUUUACACCUUUAGGCAACUCUACUAGGUCCCAAACACCAUUGUCUUUCAUUGAUUUCAUCUCAUCCUUCAUGGCUUCUAUCCACUUUUCAGAAUUAGAACUUUGUUUGACUUGACUAACUGAAAUUGGAUCGUCUUCCAGACCCAUGUCAAACUCAUAUUCUUGGAGAUAUACAACAUAAUCAUCUGAAAUUGUACUUCUCCUUUCUCUAGUGGAUCUCCUUAGUGGCACUUGUACUUGAGGUUGUUGAGUUACCUCUUGAUGAACUUGAAUCGGUUCCAUAACUUGAGCAGGAGGAAUCUCAGGUGUGUCUUGAAUCCCUGUUAUCGACUGUACAUUCUGAAUAGUGUCAUUAAACAUAAUAUGACCAUGUCCAGUCGUAAUAAUAGGAAUAUUAACAAAUUCCUCUUCAAAGACCACCUUUCUUAAUGGCUCUCUCCCACUUGACUCAACAUCCUCAAUGAAAUUAGCAUUGCCCGUUUCAAAGAAGGAUCUAGUUGAGGGAUCAUAAAAUUUGAAACCUCUUGACCUUUCAGAAUACCCUACAAAGUAGCAGCUCACUGUUUUGGAGUCCAAUUUCUUUUCAUUUGGCUUGUAAGGCCUAGCUUCAGCUGGACAACCCCAGACAUGCAAGUGCCUAAUACUAGGUUUCUUGCUAGUCCAUAACUCAUAUGGGGUUUUGGCUACUGCUUUGCUUGGUACUCUAUUCAAAAUAUAAACUGCAGUUUUUAUGGCUUCGCCCCAAAGUGAUUUUGGUAAGGUGGAAUGACUAAUCAUACUUCUUACCAUAUCCUUAAGAGUACGGUUUCGCCUCUCUGCUACACCAUUUUGGUUCGGAGUCCCUGGCAUGGUGUAUUGAGGAACGAUACCACACUCCAUCAAAUAUUUGGCGAAUGGCCCUGGACAUUGUUCUCCAGAUCCGUCAUAUCUACCAUAAUAUUCACCUCCACGGUAAGAUCUGACGGCUUUUAUUUUCUUGCUUAGUUGGUUCUCAACUUCAGCUUUGAAAUUCUUGAAAACAUCUAAUGACUGAGACUUUUCAUGAAUCAAAUAAAGAUAGCCAUAACGCGAGUAAUCGUCAAUGAAAGUGAUAAAAUACUGUUGUCCAUUCCAAGAAGGGGUAGGAAAUGGACCACAAAUGUCUGUAUGUAUCAAUUCCAAGACGUUAUUGCACCUAUUGGCAUUCUUUUUCCUCAUAUUUGUUUGUUUUCCCUUAAUGCACUCUAUACAGACUUGAAAGUCUGAGAAAUCAAGUGGAUCAAGAAUUCCUUCUGACACAAGCCUUUGAAUUCGUUGAUUUGAAAUAUGACCCAAACGCUUGUGCCAUAACAUUGAUGAAUUCUCAUUCAUUAAUUUUCGCUUAAUGCCAUAAUUACUUGAAUGCAAGGUUUCAUUUCCAUUAGUGGCCUUUAUGUUCAAUUUAUAUAGUUUGUCUGUUGGACUACCUGUACCAAUAAUAUUUGAAUUUAGAUAAAGACUAACCAUUCCAUUUCCAAAUGAACAACAAUAUCCAAAUUUGUCCAAACAUGAAACAGAAAUUAAAUUUCGUCUAAACGACGGUACUACAAAAGUCUCUUCCAAAUCCAAUGUACAUCCAGAGUCUAACUGUAAUCUGAAAAGACCAAUAGCCUUGACUGCAACCUUGUUGCCAUUUCCCACAUAGAUGUAUCUUUCACCAUCAGUUGGCAUUUGGCUCCUUAGGCAACCUUGCAUAGUGACACUUAUGUGAGUAGUUGCACCCGUAUCUAUCCACCAAGUGUCAGUAGGCACUACAGCUAAAUUAAUUUCUGAACAAACAAAGUUGAGAAGUGUACCUUUCUUUUCACGCCAAGCAGCGUAUUUGGUACAUGUCUUCUUCAUAUGACCAGCCUUUUUGCAAAAGAAACAAGUGAUCUCCUUAUCUUGUUUCUUUUGCUCCUUUUGCUUUGAUGUCCCAGAAACUGCAGUUUGUUUUCCUUUAUUGUCCCUCUUUCUUUUCUUGUUGGUACCAAAUCCCUGAGAUGUGGAAGCCAAGUGAGCACUUUCUAUCUUUUCUUGCUUCAAUCUCUCUUCCUCUUGCACACAUUGAGCAAUAAGCUCAUUCAAAGUCCAUUUUUCCUUUUGUGUAUUGUAACUGAUUUUGAAUGGACUGAAUUGUGUAGGCAGAGAGAUCAAGACCAAGUGCACGAGUAUGUCUUCCGACAACUCUAACUUUAGUGCCUUGAGUCUCGUCACAAGAUUAGACAUUUCCAUAAUGUACUCCCUGAUAUUCUCUUUCCCUUUAUACCGCAUAGAGACAAGCUUACUAAGAAUAGUGCUUGUCUCAACCUUUUCGUUUGCAGCGAAUCGGUUUGCUAUCUGGUCCAAGAAUGCCUUGGCUUGGGUGUCCUCAGGUAUUGCACCCCUUAUUGCUUCUGGAAUUGAGUGCUUCAUAAUCAUUAGACUCAUGCGAUUGGAUCGUUCCCAUUUUUCCAUAGUAGACCUUUGCUCAGCAGUGCUGGCACUAGUAAGAUCUGAUGGGCGAUCCUCCCUUAAUGCAAAGUCUAAAUCCAUGCACCCGAGCACAAUUAUAACGUGCUCUUUCCAUUUCUUGAAAUUUGUGCCGUUAAGCACAGGAAUGUUAUUAACAUUUGCAGAUAUAGAAGAUGCUGAAUUCAUAAUAAUAAAGCUCACAAUUAGUCACAUAAGCAUCAUACAUACAUGAAUAAAUAUACAUCAUGCAAGAUACCUAGCACAAACAUUAAUAUUCAGUCUUUGGACAAAAAUAUUAACUUGUAAUUGGUAUCCUUAUACAAAAUUAAUACAUAAAUAUUGACAAUAAAAUCAAACACAAUAUGUUUGUCUUUGGACUAACAUAUCAAUACAAGAUAAACAUUAUAUGUCAUAUAUUUAUGAUUACUUUAUUUAUUAUUAUAUUAAAAUAAUCCUCCUUUGGGUUGAUUAUUUUAUACAAUAAUACCAUGCUUAUAUAUUUCAAAAACAAAUAAAAUUAUGUAACACGUUACUUUGGCAACAAAUAUACAUAAUUUAUUUAUUUUGAAAUAAAGACAACAAACAAUAAUUUAAUCAAAAUUAUUUAUGCAUAAACUCAUGUACAUAUCCAUAUAUACAUUUAUAUAUAAAUUAAAGCAUAAAUGCAAGUUAUGGGCUUUAGUCCAAUGGUUCAAGGAGAUCCACUAGUACCAUUGUUUAUGCAUAAAUACAUAGGGUUUUUUUUUUUUUUUUUUAAAUCAAAAACGCCAUUCAUGGCGUUGGCCUCCAACAGCACUUAUCACAGGAAAUUGACGCCAAACGACGUCGUUUUUUUUUUUUUUUUUUUGGUUCAUUGCAGCCCAAACGACCCAAGGUCGUUUGCAGCCAUAGCAUCGGCACAGCGGCAUCGUCAGUGAUGCCGGAAGUGGCGUCGCGGCGGCACAAGGCCAGCGCGCCUCCAUAGCGCUCCAGCGCCGGAAGCAGCGUCGUUAGUGACGUCGGCAGCGGCCGCGCUCCAGCGCGCCUCCAAUGACGCUGAUGAAGCGCCCUAACAGCGCUGUAGUGGCGCCGUUAACGCGCCCUAACGACGCGUGGAGAUGGCGCCUCACAACGCCUGCAAUGGCGCCCAACGGCACCCUUCGCCGGAGACAACGCUUGAGGGCGCGCCUGAAACGCGCCUGCAGCACGCCUGAAACGCUCCAGUAGCGCGCUUGAAACGCGCCUAAACCGUCGCCCUAAACCGCACCUGCAACGGCGCUGCCUGAUCCGCGCCUCAAUGGCGCCUGAAGGCCCUAGAAUGGUGCGCCUGCAAUGGCGCCUGCAUUGUGCCUCCAAGGUAGGUGAACAGCGCCUCCAAAAGGCGCCUGAAUUGCGCCUUGACUGGCGCCUUAACGCCGUCGGAGAGACGCCCUAAAGGGCGCUGCAUAACAGCGCCUUUAUGGCAUCUGAGUGGCGCCUGCACUGGCGCCUUCUCUGGUGCCUCCAGAUGCGCGUGAAACACACUUCCAAUGACGCUGAAUCCAAUCAAAAGGAAAAACAAAGGCAGUACAAUUUUUUAUUGCCUUAACAUGCUAUUUCUCAUUGAUCCAACAAAGGCUCUGAUACCAAUUGUGAGAUUUCAUGUUCUAUUUAUUCAAUGAUCAUACAGGAUCAUAUGUUGAAUCACAUGAAGAAAUUAUGUCAUAAAUACUAUUAAAAUUGUACCAACCUGAUUCCAUUUGUGUGUUUGAUGAAGACGGUAUGAAUCUUCUAAGACUGAUCCAUACCUGGGUUACUUAAAUAUCUGCCUAACAUUCCAACAAUGUACGCAAUAUCCGGACGCGUACAAACUUGUGCAUACAUGAGACUUCCUACUGCCGAGGCAUAGGGAAAUCUCUCCAUAUUCCAGCGCUCUAAGACUGAUGGAGGGCACCACCUCUGAAUUCUCUCAGGCAAUGGGAGCGGGAGAGAGAGCGGUUAAGUUCAAAAGAUGUGAUUGUACAAAAGACACAAGCCAAAGUCCUUUUAUACCCUCCUGCCUUAGGGACCAUACCCAUUGGUUAUUGGGCCUCACAGGCCUUAGGCCCAUCAUCUAAAGCCCGUGAUGGCAUUGGGCUCUACACAUUAGGUGGCCCAUACUCAAGAUUAAAUCAUAAAUUGCAUGUGAAAAGAUAGCUUAAUCCUGGACAAUGUUUAAUAUAUUGUCGGUCCAUAUUUUUUCUAUCAGGAGGGGCGUGUGAGGGAUGACCUUCAGAGAACUGUUGGUGACGAAACGAAACGAG
rnacentral:lncRNA from 1 species